AAAUAAAUAAGUAAACAAACAAACAAACAAACAAACUAUCUGGCAUAUCAGCUGAAGAGAAACCACUCAGUUUAAACCUCCAGCUAUCAGCACGAAUUCAGAGCUCUGGCAUCAGAAAUGGCAUUUCCUAGGCAGAGAGACCUCUAUUAUUAAAAUGCCUAAGAAAAAUAGUUUACUACCUUAACAUAAAUAGGUAGAUUCAGUGGCAACAUAUGAAUCUCAGAGAAGCUACAGUUUUGACAAGACUAGGCUUGGCUCACACCUGUAAUCCCUGCACUUUGGGAGGCCUGCGUGAGAGGAUUGCUUGAGCCCAGGAGAUUGAGACCAGCUCAGGCAAUAUGGUGAGACCUUGACUCUACAAAAAAAUUAAAACAUUAGCCAAGUGUGGUGGUGCAUGCCUGUGGUCCCAGCUACUCAGGAGGCUGAGGUGGGAGAAUCACUUGAGCCCAGGAGGUGGAGCUUGCAGUGAGCCAAGACUGUGCCACUGCACUGCAGCCUGAGAGACCAGAGCAAGACCUCGUCUCAAAAACAAAAACAAAAAACUGACAAGACUGUGGCCAAGAGGGAAUUAAAGAACAGGUUACUGAGGUUUGAGAUUUAAUGAGCCCAGAAGUGAAACCAGUUAGAAUUCUCCAAUUACCCAUUUCCUGAUUGUUAACUCAUCCUAUCAUCCUCUGAAGUAGGUACAGUACUAUUAUUUCCACUUUGCAGAUGAGGAAUUGAAGCUCAGAGGCUGUCUUAGAUCACACAGUUAAUAAUGGGAAGAAAUGGGAUUCUUCCUGAAGAAAAGUUAAGUAAUACAUAAUAAAAGGAUAUGAACAUAUAGUCUCCUAGGACCCAAUCAUUGUUUUAGAAAGAUCUCAAGUUAACCAGAAGAGCAGCAGUUAACCAGAAGUGUGGUCUGGGGACCUCGUAGAAGUCCCCAGGAUUCUUUACAAAGGAUCUGUAAGGUCAAAACUAUUGUUACACAAAUAUGUAGAAUUUACCUGCCUUUUGCAUAUAUAUUCCCUCGAAAAUGAACAAUAGAAUUUUCCAACGCCUACAUGAUAUGUGAUAUUAUCACAGAUUGAAAUAAGGGCCAGGUGUGGUGGCUCAGGCCUGUAAUCCCAGCACUUUGGGAGGCUGAAGUGAGCAGAUCACCUGAGGUUAGGAGUUCGAGACCAGCCUGGCCAUCGUGGUGAAACCCCGUCUUUACUAAAAUUACAAAAUUAGCCGGGCAUGGUGGCCGGCACCUGUAAUCCAAGCUACUUGGGAGGCUGAGGCAGAAGAAUCGCUUAACCUGGGAGCCACGGCACUCCAGCCUAGGCGACAA
rnacentral:lncRNA from 10 species